CGUGAAACGCAGAGGCUUAUCCGCCGGCAUCGCCGAGGAUGGAAGACCAGGCGCUAUGCCACCCAUGUUGCUUAGGAACGGCCUGCAACAUUAAUCGCAAUCUCGUAUUGUGCAGAUAGCCGCUGCUCGAACUGAACUCGUAAUCGGCACCGAGGUAGGAGUUGCGAUUCGAUCCACUGUCUGCCAUAAACCACCACUUGGAUUGAUCUUCGCCGUCGCAUUCGCCGCCCAAUCUGGGAUACAGUCGCGGAUGAAUCGGAGAUACGUUCGACAUCCUCACGUCAUAGCCAGCGGCCACACCAGCAAGCAUCGCCGCGAUGUCGUACAGAACCAACUCAACUAUACUUGGCCUCGACUUCUUCGCCUCGCCAUUGUAGAGGGUUGGCAUCGGUACUGGCAUCGGCAUGAUGUACGGUCCGGUUAGUCCGGGCUUCAGAGGAUGAUCCGAUGUUAUCCAAUCAGUCGACAGAUCGGGCGGAUUUUGGGAAAGAGACAGGAACCAAACCCAAUCGGAGUUAACAAGUUAGGAUUCCUACUGGAAGCAUGCAAGGAUUUUAUUUCUUUUUACGCUCGGCAUAUUAUAAUCCUUUUCAAAUCAGACGCGUGAUAAUGUGAUAAUUGUGAAUAUAAUCUGCUAUAUUUUCUUCUUAGCAAAAGUGUGAUUGUCUAAUAAAAUUCCAAGUUGUAUCAAAAAAGCACAGGCAUAAAUAUUAUAAUAUGUA